AGAGUUUGAUCCUGGCUCAGGACGAACGCUGGCGGCACGCCUAACACAUGCAAGUCGGACGGAGAAAAUGAUUUCGGUUAUUUUCUUAGUGGCGGACGGGUGAGUAACACGUGAGGAACCUGCCUCUGAGAGUGGGAUAGCUUCUGGAAACGGAUGGUAAUACCGCAUAACAUAGCGAAACCGCAUGAUUUUGCUAUCAAAGUAUUUCGCUCAGAGAUGGCCUCGCGUCUGAUUAGAUAGUUGGUGAGGUAACGGCUCACCAAGCGACGAUCGGUAGCCGGACUGAGAGGUUGAACGGCCACAUUGGGACUGAGACUCGGCCCAGACUCCUACGGGAGGCAGCAGUGGGGAAUAUUGCACAAUGGGGGAAACCCUGAUGCAGCGACGCCGCGUGGAGGAGGAAGGUCUUCGGAUUGUAAACUCCUGUUGUUGAGGAAGAUAAUGACGGUACUCAACAAGGAAGUGACGGCUAACUACGUGCCAGCAGCCGCGGUAAAACGUAGGUCACAAGCGUUGUCCGGAAUUACUGGGUGUAAAGGGAGCGCAGGCGGGAAGACAAGUUGGAAGUGAAAUCCAUGGGCUCAACCCAUGAACUGCUUUCAAAACUGUUUUUCUUGAGUAGUGCAGAGGUAGGCGGAAUUCCCGGUGUAGCGGUGGAAUGCGUAGAUAUCGGGAGGAACACCAGUGGCGAAGGCGGCCUACUGGGCACCAACUGACGCUGAGGCUCGAAAGUGUGGGUAGCAAACAGGAUUAGAUACCCUGGCAGUCCACACCGUAAACGAUGAUUACUAGGUGUUGGAGGAUUGACCCCUUCAGUGCCGCAGUUAACACAAUAAGUAAUCCACCUGGGGAGUACGACCGCAAGGUUGAAACUCAAAGGAAUUGACGGGGGCCCGCACAAGCAGUGGAGUAUGUGGUUUAAUUCGACGCAACGCGAAGAACCUUACCAAGUCUUGACAUCCUGCGGCGGUGCUGGAAACAGUACUUUCCUUCGGGACGCAGAGACAGGUGGUGCAUGGUUGUCGUCAGCUCGUGUCGUGAGAUGUUGGGUUAAGUCCCGCAACGAGCGCAACCCUUAUGGUCAGUUACUACGCAAGAGGACUCUGGCCAGACUGCCGUUGACAAAACGGAGGAAGGUGGGGAUGACGUCAAAUCAUCAUGCCCUUUAUGACUUGGGCUACACACGUACUACAAUGGCGUUAAACAAAGAGAAGCAAGACCGCGAGGUGGAGCAAAACUCAGAAACAACGUCCCAGUUCGGACUGCAGGCUGCAACUCGCCUGCACGAAGUCGGAAUUGCUAGUAAUCGCAGAUCAGCAUGCUGCGGUGAAUACGUUCCCUGGCCUUGUACACACCGCCCGUCACACCAUGAGAGCCGGGGGGACCCGAAGUCGGUAGUCUAACCGCAAGGAGGACGCCGCCGAAGGUAAAACUGGUGAUUGGGGUGAAGUCGUAACAAGGUA
rnacentral:rRNA from 1 species